rnacentral:rRNA from 1 species
GACGAACGCUGGCGGCGUGCCUAAUACAUGCAAGUAGAACGCUGAAGGGAGAGCUUGCUCUUCUGGAUGAGUUGCGAACGGGUGAGUAACGCGUAGGUAACCUGCCUGGUAGCGGGGGAUAACUAUUGGAAACGAUAGCUAAUACCGCAUAACAUUGACUAUUGCAUGAUAGUCAAUUGAAAGGUGCAAUUGCACCACUACCAGAUGGACCUGCGUUGUAUUAGCUAGUUGGUGGGGUAACGGCUCACCAAGGCGACGAUACAUAGCCGACCUGAGAGGGUGAUCGGCCACACUGGGACUGAGACACGGCCCAGACUCCUACGGGAGGCAGCAGUAGGGAAUCUUCGGCAAUGGACGGAAGUCUGACCGAGCAACGCCGCGUGAGUGAAGAAGGUUUUCGGAUCGUAAAGCUCUGUUGUAAGAGAAGAAACGAGUGUGAGAAGUGGAAAGUUCACAACUGUG